rnacentral:lncRNA from 10 species
UUCCGCUGGCUGGAGUCGUGCUGUGAUCUUGUCAGUCACAGGAUUCUGAUAGGAGACACUGUCCCCAAAGGUUUCUACCACACGGAGAACACAUGCUCUUCAUGAAGGCUCUGAAGACAGGCCACACAUCUCAUCUUCAAUUUACAAACGAUGAGAGCAAACAAGACCCAGAAAAGGGAAAGGUUUGCCUAAAGUGUCAUAGCUAAUGUCAGAACCGUCUGCAUCCAGGUUGUCCAGCCCCUUGUCUACACACUCACUAUUGGUCCACAGGUUGCCUCAACCCGCCUUUCCUACCCACUACAGAACAUUCUUCCUUCAACAGGUUCCUUUUCGGAGGACAGUCAUUUGGUAAAUUUCCACAAUCAUUAUAGAAAGUACCUGCCCAUCACCACAAAAGAUCAGAUGAGUCUGACUUUACUUUUAAUCAUUCUUAUUAUCUUGUGAGAUGGGAC